ensembl:lncRNA
CUCUGGUGGCACAGCUGGAGCUGCAAUACAGCGCCCUUAACCACCCGAGAGGCAACAUACGCUGCUUUUGGCAUGGGAUUGUCAAGGAUGUGGACAGCAGGGUCUAGCUUGACAGAAGUUUGAGAGGGUGAAGACUAGCGUAAGAGUUGAAGCCCAUCAGUUGUUUUACCAUGGCACAUGAUCGGUGGACCUCAUUGGACCCUUGAUGAAAUCCAGGAAUGGCAACAGCUGGUGUCUGACGGUGACCGAUUAUUUUACCAUAUGGGGGGAGGCAAUACCCAUUAAGAUACCCAUCAAGGACAAGACUGGCGAGGCCACCUCCAAGGUGAUGAUGGACAUCUUCAACACCUACGGUUCUCCUGAUGUCAUCUUUAUUGACCAAGGUCGUGAACUCUGAAACAAGGUCCCAACACAGCCUCAGAAGCCUCCGGUGAGGGCAGGACAUUUCCUAGCGACAAAAGUCCUUGUAGUGCUUCUGCUGUGAAGUCUUGGAGCCCCAACAACUUAUCAGCGAUCCGCUGGCAGCCCUGAUCCUUGACACCUCGACCUCCUUCACCCUAACAGCGCACUCAAAACCUGUGCCCUAGGACCAUGCCUCAGGACUACCUGGCCUGAUGACUCCUUGCUGUCCCCAGUUCACCUGGUCAUGCUGCUGCUCUGGUUUUGGCUGUUCUGCCUGCGGCUGUGGAGCCAUGGACUGUUCACCGGACGUGCUGCCUUGUCCUGGAGCUGCUGUUUUAGACUCUCUCUCUACUGCACCUGCUGUCUCUAACUCUGAAUGAUCGGCUAUGAAAAGCCAACUGACAUUUACUCCUGAGAUGCUGACCUAUUGCACCCUCUACAACCACUGUGAUUAUUAUCUGACCCUGCUGGUCAUCUAUGAAGGUUUGAACAUCUUGGCCAUGUUCUGUUAUAAUCUCCACCCGGCACAGCCAGAAGAGGACUGGCCACCUCUCAUAGCCUGGUUCCUCUCUAGGUUUAUUCCUAGGUUCUGGUAUUUCUACAGAGUUUUUCCUAGCCACUGUGCUUCUACAUCUGCAUUGCUCGCUGUUUGGGGUUUUAGGCUGGGUUUCUGUACAGCACUUUGUGGCAUCGGCUGACUGACAAUUUUAUCUCAACAUUAGGAUGUUUAAGAGCCUGCUUGUUUAUAACAUCCACCACCUCAUUCCCCUCUAUCUCAAGUGAGCUGGUACCCAGAGGAAGAUCACAAAUACGCUGUCUCUUUCACCCUAUACAAGCACUGCAAAACCUCACCCGUGCUGCACAGGAGUCAGAGCAGAUUACACCACCUCCACCCACUCUGCAGCCAAUAGUAUGGCCAACAACUCUAUUGUGUAAACAGAUAAAUGAUCCGUUGCUCUUUUCGUCACAGCCACCUUAAACUCAGGAACACUUAAAAGCUGCUCCUGUCCUUCCUGUUUUAGGGUCCUUAGAUCCAUCUGUGAAUUUAUUCAAGAAAGCAUAGUAUUGUGUUCUUAAAUGUUCCCUUACAACUGAAUCUACUCCUUCCUCAACAUCUCUUACCUUCUCAAGCAACCCUAGACCUACCACUGGCUGAGGGAGAAACCAAGGUGGGAUAGCAGGAAGAAGCACAGAGGGGCUAAACUCCCUCCCAAACAACCCUAGACCUACCACUGGCUGAGGGAGAAACCAAGGUGGGAUAGCAGGAAGAACCACAGAGGGGCUAAACUCCCUCCCAAACAACCCUAGUUCCCAGCACUCUAGGAGCACCAUUUUUAUAGGAUGUGUAACCUUAUGUCCUUGUAGAUUUACCCAAUAUGUUAUGGCUAACUGUUGUUUUCUUAACUUUAACAGCAUCUCUCCUAAAUCUACCUGCAUCGCUGCCACCAGGAGGUCCUAAGGGCUCCACAACAUAUUCUCAGGGCUUGAGCCUGGAUAACAUCCAGCUUUUUUAAAGAUGUCUGAGCUGCUGAUCCAUAUGCUAUACUUCCACAAUCCACUGAUGAAAUUAACAGCGCUAUAUAUAUCAUUUAACACCAUUCUAUCUGUUACUCCAUUCCUGACAAGCAACGCAUCACACUCAAUAUUCAUAGCUUUCUUCCUCCAACCCCCAUGUUAUCCAGCCUGAUAAGUAGGCCUUCCUUACACAUCAUAAACCUUCUCUACAUCGAAGAAAACGACUACCACCACCUCCUUAUUUCCCUGUGCCUUCUAUAUGACUGACUCUAGGCACAGUGCAGGGUCCAUCGUUCCCCUGCCUUUCCUGAACCCACUUUGAUCUGGUGACAUUAGCCCUCAACAGAACGUAUGUCAGCCUUUCUAUAGUUUACAUACGUGAGAUGUCAACACUAUCUGCCUAUAAUUUAAAGGACUAGUAGGGUCUUUCCCUGGUCUCCAUAUUGACACCACUACCACCUGCUUCCAACUUCCAGGCAGUUUCCCUUCCUGCCCCACCUUAUUGUAAAGGCCCAAUACUUUCCCCAUUGCAGUGUCACUGAGAUGAGCCAUCAUGAUGUAACACAUCUCAUCCUUCCCAGGAGAUGUUACCCCAGCUUUAGCUAAUGCACUCAUCUCAGCCAACGUAAAAGGGCCAUUCAAUGUAUCCCCCACCAUCUCUUUCUGAUCCAGGACCCCCGGAUGUUCUCCUCUGACCCUCUCUCUCCCACCCUACCCCUCUUCUGUCAGAUUAUUUGAGUUGUGCACCUUCACAAAUGCCUGGGCUCGCAUCUCCCCCUUUUCAGCACAGGGAGAUCCCAAUCUCUUCUGACCCCACUCAUUCUCUUAAUCAUCCCCCAUACCUCUCCCACAGGAGUGGUCCUGCCUUUGUUUCCACAGAACUGGCGCCAAUAUGCCCUCUUAGCUGUCCUAAUGAUCCUCCUUACUACUUCUUGUUUCUACUGUAUCAGGUGCUGGUAAUUACAGGUCCUUUUCAACAUUCUGAAAGCCCUGUUCCUACUCUUCACUGCUGCUCAACACUCCCCCAGGGGACUGUGUUACUCUUCCCCCU